rnacentral:rRNA from 1 species
UACGUAGGGUGCAAGCGUUAAUCGGAGUUACUGGGCGUAAAGCGUGCGCAGGCGGUUUUGUAAGUCAGAUGUGAAAUCCCCGGGCUUAACCUGGGAACUGCGUUUGAAACUACAAGGCUAGAGUGUGGCAGAGGGGGGUGGAAUUCCACGUGUAGCAGUGAAAUGCGUAGAGAUGUGGAGGAACACCGAUGGCGAAGGCAGCCCCCUGGGUUAACACUGACGCUCAGGCACGAAAGCGUGGGGAGCAAACAGG